CACGUAGGUGGUUUUAUAAGUCGGAUGUGAAAGCCCCGGGCUUAACCUGGGAAUUGCAUCUGAUACUGUCUGACUAGAGUAUGCUAGAGGGAAGUGGAAUUCCAGGUGUAGCGGUGAAAUGCGUAGAUAUCUGGAGGAACACCAAUGGCGAAGGCAACUUCCUGGGGCAAUACUGACACUGAUGUGCGAAAGCGUGGGGAAGACAACAA
rnacentral:rRNA from 1 species